GCAUACAUUAUUAAAACGUUGUCUAUAUGUACCCUGUAGAACCGAAUUUGUGUGGUUCGUACAGUCACAGAUUCGAUUCUAGGGGGAUAUAUGGUCGAUGCAAAUACUUCGAUUUCAG
rnacentral:precursor_RNA from 14 species